CUGGACGUGACUCACGCGGUUCACGUGACUCACGUGGUCAACGUUUUACACGCUCCGAAGCACUGAUUCAAACAAAAGACUAAUUAAGUGAAUCGUGACGCAGGUGGCGCUUUAACACGGUCAUCGUUACAGACAAAAUUUGUACAACGGUUAGUCCUCACAUCCUAUUGGUCAAGUGCUUCGGACUGGCUGAUGUAACAGUUUGUCAUUCCUGGGUCUUUCAUAUCACCCUGAAGGUUAAUGCCACCCACAGCAUGUUUGUGAAAGAGGCAUUCCUCGCCGUACAGCGUGGGAACAACCUGGACCAUCCAUCCGGAAUUCCGACGGAGCAUUGUCACACCAGAGCCAGCUGUUGCCAUGGAGACCGCCACAAGUGUUCUAGUGCGUGUCCCUUUUUAGAAAUGAGUUCUGAGGUGGGAAGUGCCUCAGGAGAGCCAAUCGGUAGCUUUCACCGUGCGUUAAUAGCGUUCGCUGCUCUUUGAAGCCCUGAAUUAAUGAGGUUGUGCAACAUUUUCCCAAACCACCUGCUGGAUGGUCAGAUGUGUGUGAAGCUGACUGUUCACCUCUGGUAUAACAGCAGUCGCUUUAGCUUAAAUGUCACUGUGGGAAAUCGGCAUUCCGGAAUCCAAGAGAUGCGGGCAAAGGGUGACAGAUGGCUUAAAUAACAGAAACAACUGUGAGAAUAAGAGCACUGGCAGCACCUUUAAACACACAGGCAAGCGUAUACACACACAUAACCUCUAGUCUUGCACAGUGUCAGCGGCUCACAAGCACUUCGCCCCCUCCGCGCAUCUGCUUUGAAGACCGGGAACACUGUGUACCCGACUUGUGCACUGGCAUCAGGGCAAAUGAAGCUCCAGCCUGAGGAGAUCACAUGCGUUCACACAUUCACACGGCACAGAUCUGACUGCAGCAAAUGAAUGUUUUAUCAGACUCCAUUUCAGCUUCAUGCAGUCGAACUCAAGUGCAUGAUUUCUAUGGAUUACAUGAUCGCAUAUUAUUUACACAAUAGCAGUCAUUUAUUCAGAAUGGAUUGAUUCUCUCUAAUUCCUUGUUUUCUUAUUUUAGCAUUCCUUUCUUAAAAUAGCCUGUCUUUUCUAUACAUUUCAAUACAUCCAGUUUUGUUGACCUUCAGAGAUCAGUCAUUUGGCAGGUGG